GGCCGGCCUAACACAUGCAAGUCGAGCGGUAGCACCUUGAGCUUGCUCUCGGGUGACGAGCGGCGGACGGGUGAGUAAUGUCUGGGAAACUGCCUGAUGGAGGGGGAUAACUACUGGAAACGGUAGCUAAUACCGCAUAAUGUCGCAAGACCAAAGUGGGGGACCUUCGGGCCUCAUGCCAUCAGAUGUGCCCAGAUGGGAUUAGCUAGUAGGUGGGGUAACGGCUCACCUAGGCGACGAUCCCUAGCUGGUCUGAGAGGAUGACCAGCCACACUGGAACUGAGACACGGUCCAGACUCCUACGGGAGGCAGCAGUGGGGAAUAUUGCACAAUGGGCGCAAGCCUGAUGCAGCCAUGCCGCGUGUGUGAAGAAGGCCUUCGGGUUGUAAAGCACUUUCAGCGGGGAGGAAGGCGGUGAGGUUAAUAACCUCAUCGAUUGACGUUACCCGCAGAAGAAGCACCGGCUAACUCCGUGCCAGCAGCCGCGGUAAUACGGAGGGUGCAAGCGUUAAUCGGAAUUACUGGGCGUAAAGCGCACGCAGGCGGUCUGUCAAGUCGGAUGUGAAAUCCCCGGGCUCAACCUGGGAACUGCAUUCGAAACUGGCAGGCUAGAGUCUUGUAGAGGGGGGUAGAAUUCCAGGUGUAGCGGUGAAAUGCGUAGAGAUCUGGAGGAAUACCGGUGGCGAAGGCGGCCCCCUGGACAAAGACUGACGCUCAGGUGCGAAAGCGUGGGGAGCAAACAGGAUUAGAUACCCUGGUAGUCCACGCCGUAAACGAUGUCGAUUUGGAGGUUGUGCCCUUGAGGCGUGGCUUCCGGAGCUAACGCGUUAAAUCGACCGCCUGGGGAGUACGGCCGCAAGGUUAAAACUCAAAUGAAUUGACGGGGGCCCGCACAAGCGGUGGAGCAUGUGGUUUAAUUCGAUGCAACGCGAAGAACCUUACCUGGUCUUGACAUCCACAGAACUUAGCAGAGAUGCUUUGGUGCCUUCGGGAACUGUGAGACAGGUGCUGCAUGGCUGUCGUCAGCUCGUGUUGUGAAAUGUUGGGUUAAGUCCCGCAACGAGCGCAACCCUUAUCCUUUGUUGCCAGCGGUUAGGCCGGGAACUCAAAGGAGACUGCCAGUGAUAAACUGGAGGAAGGUGGGGAUGACGUCAAGUCAUCAUGGCCCUUACGACCAGGGCUACACACGUGCUACAAUGGCAUAUACAAAGAGAAGCGACCUCGCGAGAGCAAGCGGACCUCAUAAAGUAUGUCGUAGUCCGGAUUGGAGUCUGCAACUCGACUCCAUGAAGUCGGAAUCGCUAGUAAUCGUAGAUCAGAAUGCUACGGUGAAUACGUUCCCGGGCCUUGUACACACCGCCCGUCACACCAUGGGAGUGGGUUGCAAAAGAAGUAGGUAGCUUAACCUUCGGAAAGGCGCUUACCACUUUGUGAUUCAUGAC
rnacentral:rRNA from 1 species